CAGUAGCCGCGGGAAAACGAAGGGUGCAAGCGUUACUCGGAAUUACUGGGCGUAAAGCGUGCGUAGGUGGUGGUUUAAGUCCGUUGUGAAAGCCCUGGGCUCAACCUGGGAAUUGCAGUGGAUACUGGGUCACUAGAGUGUGGUAGAGGAUAGUGGAAUUUCCGGUGUAGCAGUGAAAUGCGUAGAGAUCGGAAGGAACAUCUGUGGCGAAGGCGGCCCCCUGGACAAAGACUGACGCUCAGGUGCGAAAGCGUGGGGAGCAAACAGGAUUAGAUACCCGUGUAGUCCCUGUCUCUUAUAC
rnacentral:rRNA from 1 species